CCCAGCCUCCCUCCACAUUGGAUGAUGGCCCAUCUGGCCAGCUUAAUGCUCAACCAACAAACAGCAAUGUGCAUGUAGAAACACCAAGUGACUUGACAUUGCUUCAACACAUGGUUGAGCAAAAUGCCACAGAUUCAGAUGAAUAUGAAGUGGAGUGUUUGACGGAAAGAAAAAA